AUGGGCCACUUGCUUUGGCCCCAGACACCCCUACAGCUCCCCUCACUCCAAUCCAGCCUCUGGGGAGAGAGAGCACAGAUUGGGGGAAGGGACAGAGAGGGAGAAUCAGACUCCCCACUGAGCAGGGAACCAAUGUGGGGCUCGAUCCCAGGACCCUGGGAUCAUGAUGGGACCCAAAGAAAGACAUUUAAUCAACUGAGUCACCCAGGUGCCCCCCUGGUAAUAUUUCUUGCUCUGAAACCUACUUCUCUAAUCUUAUUCUAGCUAUAGCUAUUCCCGCUUUGUUUUGAUUGAUUAGUUGUUAGCAAUGGUAUAAUCUUUUUCCAUCCUUUUACAUUUAACUUAUUUGUGUCUUUAUAUUUAAGGUUUGUUUCUUACAGGUAGCAUAUAGUUGGGUACUGCUUUUUAAUUUUUUUUUAAUUUAAAUUCUAGUUAGUUAGUAUAUAGUGUAAUACUGGUUUCAGGAGUAGAAUUUACUAAUUCAUCAUUACAUAUCAGUGCUCAUGAUAAUAAGUGCCCUCCUGAAUAGCCAUCACCCAUUUAACCCAUCCUCCACCCACCUCCCUCCAUCAAACCCUAGUUUGUUCUCUAACAUUAAGAGUCUCUUAUGGUUUGUUGUCCACUCUGUGUUUUUUUUUUCCUUCCCAUCUGUUUAUCUGUUUUGUUUCUUUUCUUUCUUUCUUUCUUUUUAAGAUUUUAUUUAUUUAUUUAACAAAGAGAGAGAACAAGCAGAUGGCGUGGCAGGCAAGGGAGAGGGAGAAACAGGCUCCCCACUGAGCAGGGAGCCUGAUGUGGGGCUCUAUCCCAGGACCCCGGGAUCAAGACCAGAGUGGAAGGCAGACACUUAAUGGACUGAGACUCCCAGGCACCCCCAUCUGUUUUGU
rnacentral:lncRNA from 1 species